CAUAUCACAGACCUGCAAUAAAUUAAAAAAUUAAGUUAGCAAACUAAUAUUUACUAAAUGAUGAAAAUUUAUAGAUUAAAAAUAAUAUAAAAUAAUAUUGAUCAUAGGAAGACAUCCAUCAUCAUCAUCAUCGAUUGAGUCAUCAUCAUAGACAUCAGUAGGGACAUCAGAAGUCGGUGGAGGAGGCAUGUGACGAUAUAACUCAUCGAGCUUCAUCCUAAAUGCUGCAAGCUGGGACAUAAGCUCAACAUUGGCACACUGUAGGGCCGCUAUGCCCUCCUGCGAUCUAUGGCUCUCCUCCUCAGCUUGAUGCAUCUCUUCUCAUGUCUCCUCUCCAUCUCAUGUAGCUGAGCAUCCGCCUCACGUAGACGAGCAUCACAAGAAAUAUGUGGCGCUCUAGAGGAGUUUGAAGCCACAACCACAUAUCCCUAUCCCAUAAUAUAAUUGGAUCUCC
rnacentral:lncRNA from 1 species